rnacentral:rRNA from 1 species
UACGAGUGCCCCGAGCGUUAUCCGGAAUCAUUGGGCGUAAAGGGUGUGUAGGCGGUUGUGUUAGUCUUCUGUUAAAUUCUUCGGCUUAACCGGGGGCAUGCGGAAGAAACGGCACAACUAGAGGAUGCGAGAGGUAUAUGGAACUCAUGGAGUAGGGGUGAAAUCCGUUGAUAUCAUGGGGAACACCAAAAGCGAAGGCAAUAUACUGGCGCACUCCUGACGCUGAGACACUAAAGCGUAGGUAGCGAAUGGG